rnacentral:rRNA from 1 species
AAAAAUCGUAACAAGGUUUCCGUAGGUGAACCUGCGGAAGGAUCAUUAAAGAGUAAGGGUGCUCAGCGCCCGACCUCCAACCCUUUGUUGUUAAAACUACCUUGUUGCUUUGGCGGGACCGCUCGGUCUCGAGCCGCUGGGGAUUCGUCCCAGGCGAGCGCCCGCCAGAGUUAAACCAAACUCUUGUUAUUAAACCGGUCGUCUGAGUUAAAAUUUUGAAUAAAUCAAAACUUUCAACAACGGAUCUCUUGGUUCUCGCAUCGAUGAAGAACGCAGCGAAAUGCGAUAAGUAAUGUGAAUUGCAGAAUUCAGUGAAUCAUCGAAUCUUUGAACGCACAUUGCGCCCCUUGGUAUUCCGAGGGGCAUGCCUGUUCGAGCGUCAUUACACCACUCAAGCUAUGCUUGGUAUUGGGUGCCGUCCUUAGUUGGGCGCGCCUUAAAGACCUCGGCGAGGCCUCACCGGCUUUAGGCGUAGUAGAAUUUAUUCGAACGUCUGUCAAAGGAGAGGACUUCUGCCGACUGAAACCUUUUAUUUUUCUAGGUUGACCUCGGAUCAGGUAGGGAUACCCGCUGAACUUAAGCAUAU